rnacentral:tRNA from 1 species
GCGGGGGUACCCGAGCAGGUCAAAGGGGCAGGGCUUAGGACCCUGUGGCGUAGGCCUUCGAGCGUUCGAAUCGCUCCCCCCGCACCA